UACGUAGGGUGCGAGCGUUAAUCGGAAUUACUGGGCGUAAAGGGCGCGUAGGCGGCCCGUCAAGUCCCGUGUGAAAGCCCCCGGCUCAACCGGGGAACUGCACGGGAAACUAGCAGGCUUGAGUUCGGGAGAGGGAAGCGGAAUUUCGGGUGUAGCGGUGAAAUGCGCAGAUAUCCGAAGGAACACCGGUGGCGAAGGCGGCUUCCUGGACCGACACUGACGCUGAGGCGCGAAAGCUAGGGGAGCAAACGGG
rnacentral:rRNA from 1 species